ACACUCACCUAGAUUGUCUGACUCUUGACCCUCCUUCACCCAAAUCUAGAUCAUUCUCUUGCUGAAUCCUACCAAGGGGUGCUUAACUCCCUGUGUUUACCUUUGUAAAUUCACUUUCUAUUUUCCAAAGGACUCAGGUUGGGGCCCAGGCCUGUGGGCUGAUGGCAAAGAAGUAACUAGAAAUUGGCUCCCCAAACAGCAGCUUCUGAAGCUUUCUGGAGGAUAAAGCCAGAGUUCUCAAAGCAGGUAGGAGCAGGAGACCAUGUCCCACCCUGGAGCCCCCAACUUGGCUUGGAGGCCUCCCUGGGCACAGAGGCAGUGAAAGUCAUCAGCACCUUUCCUUGAGCCAGUAGAGAGGUUCUAGGGAACCUCCCUACUUCCUAUGUAAACUCAUCCCUCUGGGCAGCACCCCCCUUUCUAGCAGACACUGCACUCGCACAGCGGCUUUCUCAGGAUGCUGUGUGCUGCCAUGCUCGUCCCCCUCAGGGCUUUCCAGGGCAGUGGUGGGUGUGGAAAGGCCCCUCCUGUUUAGAUGUGUACAGGGAAGCAUGUGGAUGAAGGCAUUGCUAGGUGAUGCUGAGAGGGCAACAGCCUGCUGCAGAUUGCGGAAGACAUGGCGUUGUCAGUGUGCAAGAGGCCAGCUGGGCCCAGGGUAGAGGGGAGCUGGUGCCCAGCACCAGGUCCAUGGGGGAGCCAAGCAGCUGGGAGGACCAGCCUCGGGAAGGGUGUGACACAGAGUGGACAAUGAUAAAGAAAACAAGGGACCAAAGGGACCAGGGCUGAGGCUCUUCUGGCUUGCAGGAGCUGGCUGUGUGGCCUUCCACAUGGUACCUCCCUUCCAUGGGCCUCUGCCUGCCUGGGGACAUAUCAGAGACUGAAGUCUUAACAGGCGCUGGUUACCCAGAACAGCACAUGUUUUCAACAAGAGGAUUGGCUGAAAUCAGCGUUCUCAAACAUUUUUCUAUGAACAGAGGUUUCCACUGCUGGGCCAUCCCCAGGGGAGCCCGUCCUGAGGAGGAGUCCUGGCCACACUUACUCGCUGUCUCACUUCCAUGCAUUCCUGGAGUCCUUAGGGGAAUUUGUCUUCUGAGCUGACCUGGUGCAGUGGUUUUUGUUGCCUGAAUGAAUAAAUUUGCUUAUUGAUUGGGUCCUGAUGGCUCCCGUCUUCGAGUUCUG